rnacentral:rRNA from 1 species
UUAAACGGCCGCGGUAUUCUGACCGUGCAAAGGUAGCGCAAUCACUUGUCUUUUAAAUGAAGACCUGUAUGAAUGGUGAAACGAGGGCUUAACUGUCUCCCCCCUCCAGUCAAUGAAAUUGAUCUAUCCGUGCAGAAGCGGGUAUAAUUAUACAAGACGAGAAGACCCUUUGGAGCUUAAGACAAAAGACCAACUAUGCCAAAAGCCACAAAAAUGACACUAAAACAAAUAGUGCUGGUCACAGUCUUCGGUUGGGGCGACCGCGGGAGAAAACAAAGCUCCCAUGCGGACCGGGGAAACCCCCUAAAACUAAGAAAGACAAUUCUAAAGCACAGAACAUCUGACCAACAAGAUCCGGCUUCAUGCCGAUCAACGGACCAAGUUACCCUAGGGAUAACAGCGCAAUCCCCUUCCAGAGUCCAUAUCGACAAGGGGGUUUACGACCUCGAUGUUGGAUCAGGACAUCCUAAUGGUGCAGCCGCUAUUAAGGG